AUUGAACGCUGGCGGCAGGCCUAACACAUGCAAGUCGAACGAGUGGCGGACGGGUGAGUAAUGUCUGGGAAACUGCCUGAUGGAGGGGGAUAACUACUGGAAACGGUGGCUAAUACCGCAUACCAUCGGAUGUUCACAGAUGGGAUUAGCUAGUUGGUGGGGUAACGGCUCACCAAGGCGACGAUCCCUAGCUGGUCUGAGAGGAUGACCAGCCACACUGGAACUGAGACACGGACCAGACUCCUACGUGAGGCAGCAGUGGGGAAUAGUGCACAAUGGGCGCAAGCCUGAUGCAGCCAUGACGCGUGUAUGAAGAAGGCCUUCGGGUUGUAAAGUACUUUCAGCGGGGAGGCGUUACCCGCAGAAGAAGCACCGGCUAAAUCCGUGCCAGCAGCCGCGGUAAUAC
rnacentral:rRNA from 1 species